rnacentral:lncRNA from 12 species
GUGUUCUUAAUAUCUUGCAAAGGCGUAGUAUCAGGCUGGGACAAGGCGGCUCAGUCCUGUCUGCACAUUCCAGCCCCUUCCUACCCCCAGACAGUCUGGAAGCAGGAGCUGAGCCUCCAGCCCACGGGUAAGUUCUCAGCAGGAGAGCAGAGCUUUGCCAGACCUCAAGCCCCAAACGCCCCACUGGUAGGAUGAUUCUUGUAAAAGUGACCCACGGGAGCAGCAGUCUACUUUGGAAGCAAGGCUCCCUCUCUGAGGUCCCCCUUGUAGCUUAGCACUGAAGCUGGAGAUCCACGCCCCCAGAAAAGCGUCCCUAAAACAGCUGGGGACCUGCUUGCUGACUGUGAAUUUGGGGGAUGCCAUCAUAUCAGGGGAUCAUCUAGGAUUUGGUUUAGGGGAAGGUUUACUAGGAGAGGGGAUCCCCUGCUUUAGGGUGUGAGAAGCAGGAACGAGGGAAGGGAUCCCCAUGACUCCUGGAGGAGAGAGCAGCCCCCUGCCCCCUAUCCCGGCCCGGAUCUCUCUACAUGUGGUGCAUUCACUGUCCCUCUGUCCCGCCUCCUCGCUCCCCUCUCCUGCCCCACACUCCAGCACUUCCGAGACUAUAGACCCUCCUCAUGUAGUCAAGGCAUAGAAGUUGCUUUCUUAACCUAAGAGUAUUUCAUUUUUCCUUCACAUGUUAAAGACGAAAGAAAAUGCGCGUGAGAGAGGUGUUCAGAGCCACCCAGCUCAGUAGAGGCCGAGCCAGCACUAGCGCCCAGGGCUCCCAACGCCAGGCGGGGGCUUCCUCCCGCACGCCUCGGGUCAUCGCUAAAACCCGCCCCUUCCCACCUCCACCCAUUCAGACCCUCCCACGGAUUUCCUCUCCUCCCGGGGAAGGACUCUGAUAGGCGGUCCUGGAGAGAAAACCCAGAACAUACCUAAGACCAACCUCGUGUGUGUUCAGGAGAGAGAUAGGUGUGGGGUCCAGUUGAUGCUUCCAGCCACAGUAUAUUUGCUCCUAAACCUUCGUGUUCCUGUUCCCUGGCAAAAUGAGGAAAGGAGGAGGGCUCAGGAGAAGCCAUCAGAUCUUGUCCCAUAUUUGGUAUCUGCUUUUCCCAGCCCACAAGGGAAGGACCAUGUGCCAGAGCGGAGACCAUCUGGAUGUUUGACACCAGAAACAUCUGGGCAUAGGACCGGUAUGAGAGGGUUGGAAAUGAAGCGGCAGCUCCACGGCCUUCUCAGAAGACAGAGCCGGCUGCAUCUUGAGGCUGUCAGACCUGUGCUAGGGCUGGAGGUUUCAUCUGUGCCUUUUGGGGAAGCUGUUGUUUUAUAAGAAACUAGGUCUCACUGCGGCCUGCCCCUCAGGGCAAUUGGCAAACAAAUACUGAUAAUAAAAGUUAUAAAGCUCUACCUGUUGAGCGCUUA